rnacentral:rRNA from 1 species
UACGUAGGGGGCUAGCGUUGUCCGGAAUCAUUGGGCGUAAAGCGCGUGUAGGCGGUCCGGUAAGUCCGCUGUGAAAGUCGGGGGCUCAACCCUCGGAUGCCGGUGGAUACUGUCGGGCUUGAGUACGGAAGAGGCGAGUGGAAUCCUGGUGUAGCGGUGAAAUGCGCAGAUAUCAGGAGGAACACCAAUUGCGAAGGCAGCUCGCUGGGACGUGACUGACGCUGAGACGCGAAAGCGUGGGGAGCAAACAGGG